rnacentral:rRNA from 1 species
GACAGAGGUGCCAAGCGUUAGGCGGAAUCACUGGGCUUAAAGCGUGUGUAGGCGGAUCGUUAAGUACCUUGUGAAAUCCCAUGGCUUAACCAUGGAACUGCUUGGUAUACUGGCGGUCUUGAGCCACUUAGGGGCUACCGGAACAAAUGGUGGAGCGGUGAAAUGCGUAGAUAUCCUAAGGAACACCGGUGGCGAAAGCGGCUCACUGGAUCUUAUCUGACGCUGAGGCACGAAAGCCAGGGUAGCGAACGGG